rnacentral:tRNA from 1 species
AUUCUUAUAGUUUAACUAAAAAAUAUAAUAUUGAAAAUAUUAAGAUAUAUUUUAAGGGUA